rnacentral:rRNA from 1 species
CAGUCGCCGCGGGAAUACGUAGGUGGCAAGCGUUGUCCGGAAUUAUUGGGCGUAAAGGGCUCGCAGGCGGUUUCUUAAGUCUGAUGUGAAAGCCCCCGGCUCAACCGGGGAGGGUCAUUGGAAACUGGGAAACUUGAGUGCAGAAGAGGAGAGUGGAAUUCCACGUGUAGCGGUGAAAUGCGUAGAGAUGCGGAGGAACACCAGUGGCGAAGGCGACUCUCUGGUCUGUAACUGACGCUGAGGAGCGAAAGCGUGGGGAGCGAACAGGAUUAGAUACCCCCGUAGUCCCUGUCUCUUAUAC